rfam:Shigella dysenteriae Sd197, complete genome.
AAAAACAUGCAAAUUCAAUAUAUUGCAGGAGUCUCGUAGGCCU